rnacentral:rRNA from 1 species
GUAGUCAUAUGCUUGUCUCAAAGAUUAAGCCAUGCAAGUCUAAGUAUAAACAAGUUUGUACUGUGAAACUGCGAAUGGCUCAUUAAAUCAGUUAUAGUUUAUUUGAUGAUAAUUUGCUACAUGGAUAACUGUGGUAAUUCUAGAGCUAAUACAUGCAUCACAAGCCCCGACUUCCGGAAGGGGUGUAUUUAUUAGAUAAAAGACCAACGCGGCUUGCCGCUCCUUUGGUGAUUCAUAAUAACUUGUCGAAUCGUAUGGCCUUGCGCUGACGAUGCAUCAUUCAAAUAUCUGCCCUAUCAAUUUUCGAUGGUAGGAUAGUGGCCUACCAUGGUUUCAACGGGUAACGGGGAAU